UCAACCCUCAAGACUACUUUGCGGUGGUUUUGGUGUUGGACGGUUUGGUUGAGCGCUCGCUUAAACCCCUCCUAAAGACAAUGACGGCGGACUUGUGGAACCCCCGGUACACUGAGCUUCUUAACUGAGCAUGUAUCGGAUUAAGGGUGCCCGAGCCCCGGUCUACUCCCUUGAAUGGGAAAAUCUUUCUCAA
rnacentral:misc_RNA from 1 species